rnacentral:rRNA from 1 species
GUGUCAGCCGCCGCGGUAAAACGUAGGAGACAAACGUUAUCCGGAGUUACUGGGCGUAAAGGGCGUGUAGGUGGUGGUGUAAGUCUGGCGUGAAAUUUUUCGGCUUAACCGGGAAAGGUCGUCGGAUACUGCAUCACUGGAGGACGGUAGAGGCGUGUGGAAUUCCGGGUGUAGUGGUGAAAUGCGUAGAGAUCCGGAGGAACACCAGUGGCGAAGGCGACACGCUGGGCCGUACCUGACACUGAUGCGCGACAGCAUGGGGAGCAAACAGGAUUAGAUACCCCGGUAGUCC